AUUGCACGCUGGCGGAAGGCCUAACACAUGCAAGUCGAGCGAAGCGGCGGACGGGUGAGUAUUGCCAAGGAAUCCGCCAGGUCGUGAGGGAUAAGGUUAGCAAACGGGCGCUAAUACCCCUUCCUCUCAGAUUAGCCUAGGUCGGAUUAGCUAGUUGGUGGGGUAAAGGCCUACCAAGCCGACGCUCCGUAACUGGUCUGAGGGGAUGAUCAGUCAACCUGGAACUGAGACACGGUCCAGACUCCGACGGGAGGCAGCAGUGGGAAAUAUUGGACAAUGGGGGAAAGCCUGAUGCAGCCAAGCCGCGUGUGUGAAGAAGGUCUUCGGAGUGUAAAGCACUUUAAGUAGUGAGGCUUUACCCACAGAAUAAGCACCGGCUAACUCCGUGACAGCAGCCGCGGUAAUAC
rnacentral:rRNA from 1 species